GAUUAUCAUAGCUCAGGGGUAGGGUGGCCGACUUGUAGUCGGAGGGUCGCGGGUUCGCGCCCCGGUGCC